rnacentral:rRNA from 1 species
AACGAACGCUGGCGGCAGGCCUAACACAUGCAAGUCGAGCGAACCCUUCGGGGUUAGCGGCGGACGGGUUAGUAACGCGUGGGAACGUGCCCAAAGGUACGGAAUAGCCUCGGGAAACUGAGAGUAAUACCGUAUGUGCCCUUCGGGGGAAAGAUUUAUCGCCUUUGGAUCGGCCCGCGUUGGAUUAGGUAGUUGGUGGGGUAAUGGCCUACCAAGCCGACGAUCCAUAGCUGGUUUGAGAGGAUGAUCAGCAACACUGGGACUGAGACACGGCCCAGACUCCUACGGGAGGCAGCAGUGGGGAAUCUUAGACAAUGGGGGAAACCCUGAUCUAGCCAUGCCGCGUGGACGA